rnacentral:lncRNA from 1 species
AAACUUGAAAAAUGAGAAGAGUAUGCUAUAUUUGUGAGAAUAAUGGUAAGAGGUGCAUGUAUGUAUAUUGGAUUGUAAAUUUGAGUGCACAUUCGUAAGUGUUUGAAUGAACAUAUAUGUUAUGUUGAGUUGGUGGGACUGUUUAAAUGUAAGUGUUAGACGAUGUAUACUUACUUGAAUAAUAUUGGUUGUUAUGAAAUCAUUGCAUGUGUAUGAUGGUGUAUACACU